CUCUCACAUCCAGUAGAGCAGUAAGUUGUAGCAGUCUGGUUCGUUAUCACCACCAGUCUACCAGCGCAACAAGCUUGUCCUCCUCGCGAUUGAUGCCGUCUAUGUGCACAGAAAAUGACCGGAAAGUGAUUGUGGGGAACGGCAGGAUUGUCCGGACGUUCCCAGUUGGUACACUGGAAGUUUGCUGACCGACAAAUUCGAGUCUCCUGCGCCGUUUAAGUCCAGGCCUCAUGGAGCUGGGAACUGGACACCUGCUAUGCACCAGGGAGCUUGAUCCAUGCCUGGUUCCCAGCAAGCAACCAUAAGGGGUGGGAAUCUUAAUUACACCUCAGUUCCUUUUCCCAUCCCGCUCCCUAAAUUGCCCCUGUGGAGAUAUUGUCCUCUGCUGUCUCUGGUCUGCAACAUGAUUGGCAAGCUGAAACAGAACUUGCUGGUGGCCUGUCUGGUCAUCAGCUCAGUCACGGUGUUCUACCUGGGCCGCCAUGCCAUGGAGUGCCACCAUCGCAUCGAGGAGCGCGGUCAGCCGGUUGGAAUUCUCCCUCUGUCAGCAAUGGGUGGCAGCAUGCGAACCACUUUACGGACAGGCCAGAAUCUCAGUACACCUUUUGUUUACAACAAAGACAUGCCACUCAUCUUCAUCGGCGGUGUGCCCCGAAGUGGAACCACACUAAUGCGAGCAAUGCUUGAUGCCCACCCAGAGGUACGCUGUGGCGAGGAAACCCGUGUCAUCCCACGUAUCCUGGCCAUGAAGCAGAUGUGGAGCCGCUCAGGCCGAGAGAAGAUGCGCCUGGAUGAGGCAGGUGUGACAGAUGAGGUGCUGGACGCCGCCAUGCAGGCCUUCCUGCUGGAAAUCAUCGUCAAACAUGGAGAGCCUGCCAACUUCCUGUGCAACAAGGACCCUUUUGCACUGAAGUCGCUUGCCUACCUGGCUAAAAUAUUUCCCCAUGCCAAGUUUGUACUGAUGAUUCGUGAUGGGCGGGCUUCAGUCCACUCCAUGAUCUCACGGAAGGUGACCAUUGCUGGCUUUGAUCUGGGCAGCUACCGGGACUGCCUGACAAAGUGGAAUCGGGCCAUAGAGACCAUGUAUACUCAGUGCCUGGAGGCAUCAAAUAAAUGUUUACCAGUGCAUUACGAACAGUUAGUCCUCCAUCCUGAGAAAUGGAUGAGGACACUGCUCAAAUUCCUUGACAUUCCUUGGAAUGAUGCUGUUCUACACCACGAGGAGCUCAUUGGGAAAGCUGGAGGAGUGUCCCUCUCCAAGGUGGAGAGGUCUACAGACCAGGUCAUCAAGCCUGUCAAUGUGGAGGCCUUGUCCAAGUGGGUGGGGAAGAUCCCAGCAGACGUGGUGAGGGACAUGGCUGUCAUUGCACCAAUGCUGUCCAGACUGGGCUACGAUCCACACGCCAACCCUCCCAACUACGGCCGGCCUGACCCCAAGGUCCUGGACAACACCAGAAGGGUCUUUAAAGGUGAAUUUCAGCUACCAGAUUUCCUAAAAGAACAAUCACAACAGAUCCAGAAGUCUGCAGAAAGACCCAACCCCAGUUAGAGCUGAAGGAGUGCAUCACCUUAACACACAGAAGAAAGUGGACAGCUCCGAGUUCAGUACGGGAGAACAGACCAUGGACGUCAUCUCAGCCAUCUCACCACCUGUGUUGGGUCUCGCAUUUCAAAGGUCACAUGACCAAAGUUGGACUUUCUCCUCCACCAAUAAUCGUCUGCGGAGAACUCUUGGCCUUCAAUAUUGUACUGUAUAAAAAUACUACACGUUCUCACAACCACAGAAUGUCUGCUGAUCGUUAAUUUGGUGUCACAUCACACACUGAUUUUUAGAAGUGAUCUCUGGCUAUUUAGAAAAAAUACUGCAGUGAACUGAAAUCACAAGUAUUUAUGAAUGGAAAAUUAGCUUUUGGAAGAUGCAAUACCUAUUUUAAUGUUUAAUGUUUUUUUUCAUGCCUUUGUAUUGUGCAAUGUCAUGCUGAUCAGAUUCAAUUAUCAACCUUGAUAAAUAAUGCUUUUUUUUUUAAAAGCUUG